GUCUACAGCAAUACCAUCCAAAAUGCACCUGAUCUCUUCUGAUCUCAGAAGCUAAGUGGGGUCAGGACUGUUAGUACUUGGAUGAUGGAAGACCACUUGGGAAUACUGAUUUCUAUAGGCU
ensembl:rRNA 5S_rRNA 5S ribosomal RNA